AUGAGCCGCCGCCGUCGCAGCUUGGCCUGGCAAUACUUCCUGGAUUCCUCGUCCGACGAAGAGGAGCUACUCUACAUGGCCGCAAUCAUAGCGCAAGAAGAGCAAGAGCGGCUGGAUGCCCCACCACUCCAUGACAGUUCUGUGCCGGCAAGUAUCUGCUCCUCUGUCGCCGCCGCAUCCGCUACAACCUCCCGCGUCCACCAGCCCAUCGCAUCCACCACAUCCACUGCGACCUCCAGCAUCCGCCGCGCCCGCUGCCCGGCCUCUACUCCCCGGUCAGCGCCGCGGCCGCGCCACGGAUCACCUGCGCGGACGGCGGUGACCACCUCUCCCGCUCCACCAGGCCUCCCUCCGGCCGAAUUCGUUGCACGGACCGGGAAGGGGUCGGAGGAGGAGCUCGAGGAGAGCGGAUAG
rnacentral:rRNA from 1 species